GUCAAUUUAUUUAAAGGAAAAAAUAUAAAUCUUGUGGAAGAAGAAUAUGAAAAGGAAAAAGUGUCGCACUUCUGGUUAAUAGGAUCGCCAUGAGUAUGAGUCAUCCUUACCUUUUUAGCCUAAACUUGGUAGGGUAAAGCCAACGUAGUUUGGAAUAUGGAUUCUGUCAUUCUCAUUGCUCAUUUCUUGCCUUCUUUCUUCUGUCCUUUUCCAUUACUUUCCCGUUGAAGUGAUAAUUUACUGAUUAUGGAGAACCCUGGUAUACAUACGGUGAAAAGCAUACAAAAGAUGUGGUGCUCUAUGAAUCUUAUGAUUUCCAUUAUGUGAUACCUUGACUAAAUUGGCUCUUGAUAGAAUAUUCUUUUAAGUUGUUUCAUGAAAUUUCUUCUUAGUGU
rnacentral:lncRNA from 1 species